rnacentral:rRNA from 1 species
AUUGAACGCUGGCGGCAUGCUUUACACAUGCAAGUCGAACGGCAGCACGGGUGCUUGCACCUGGUGGCGAGUGGCGAACGGGUGAGUAAUGCAUCGGAACGUAUCCAAUAAUGGGGGAUAACGCAUCGAAAGGUGUGCUAAUACCGCAUACGCCCUGAGGGGGAAAGUGGGGGACCGUAAGGCCUCACGUUAAUGGAGCGGCCGAUGCCUGAUUAGCUAGUUGGUGAGGUAAAGGCUCACCAAGGCGACGAUCAGUAGCUGGUCUGAGAGGAUGAUCAGCCACACUGGGACUGAGACACGGCCCAGACUCCUACGGGAGGCAGCAGUGGGGAAUUUUGGACAAUGGGGGCAACCCUGUUCCAGCCAUGCCGCGUGAGUGAAGAAGGCCUUCGGGUUGUAAAGCUCUUUCGCAAGGGAAGAAAACUUAGCCAUUAAUACUGGCUGAGGAUGACGGUACCUUGAUAAGAAGCACCGGCUAACUACAUGCCAGCAGCCGCAGUAA